CCAACCAGUUGCAACGACCCAAGGAGAUUGUACAUAUUCCACAUAAAAUGAAUACUUCGGGGGUACUUGUCUUCCUCACUGCUGUCAUCCUUACCGUCAUCCUGGUUGAGCAACGCCGUGUCUCCGCCCUGGUUGAAAAUGAGGACGGCCUGCGUAGUACUAGAGUGAAGCGAUGCAUUGGGAAUGGAGCAUGAUCCUGUUCAAGUGCCAUGAACCCCUUUGCUGCAGGGCAGUGUUGUAAAGGAUCCUGUUCUCCUGGAAUAAAUACACCCAACACUUUAAUCCUUUGCUACUGCAAAGACUUCUAAUGAGAAAGGAGCACCACUUUAAAGAUGAAGAUUACUAUGAUUUGACGAUUAAAUUAAACAAUUAUUUUUGAAUAUUCAACAACUUGGAAAACUAAUUCUGAGCAAAAUUCUAGUCCAAAUAAUUU